GGAGUAUAACAUUAAAAUAUACUGUUUGUGUGUAUGAACAAUAUUUUAUAAGUUCCAAUCCAUGUUUCAACAGUCAUAAUCCAAUCCUCCUUGCAUAAAAUAAAUGCAAGAGGCUGAGAAUCUGCUAUUAUAAAACUCUUGUUUGCUCAUUUUCAUAGUUAGAAGCAUACAUAAGAGUGGAAUCACCCCAUGAACUUGUAUCACACAACAACGCGUAUGGACUACAAAGAAAAACUAAAUUUCAGAGUGUGAGGCUGUCUGAGGAGUAAAGGUAUACAUUGCACAGUCAUGAGAAUCAACUCGAGCACCAAAUGAUGCCACUGCUUCUCCUGUAACAUCUUUGUGCUGCCACAAGUCUCGCACUGAGACAAUGGUGCCAGAUUCAAGCCCAAGCACAUCCCAUCUGGCUGUAAUUGUUGCAGCUUUUGAACAACGAUUCCAGAGAGCAACCACCAAGCGGUUUCUAGACAAAGGACCUGCCCAGACCUGUAGGCAACCAUCAGUUCCAGCAGUGUAUACUUUCCUUCCCUGGACACCAAGUGGGUCUUGGUUUACAGCAAUGACCUCCUUAUUUGUUAGAAUCUCAUAAGUUUCUGCUGUCAUGUUUCUUACAUCGCAACCAAUCAAAAGUGGGGCCUUCAUCAAAGCCCAGAUGCUAAAAUGAGCACGAUACUCCUGGUGUGUCAUGCCUCCAUUGCCAACUUCCAACAUAUCCGGAUCAUUCCAUCCACCGGGUCCUGCAUAGGCUGCCCAUUUAUCAUUCAGAUCAGCUAAAGUGGUCAUGCUUGCCCAUGAAUCAUUGAUGUCAUCUGUUGUGCGCCAACUAUUUCCAACUUUCCCAGCCCAUAAGGCAGGGUCAUCGACACCCCAUUCACAAAGUGAAUAAAAAAUCGUGCGUCCAGUUGCAUUUAUUGCAUCACGCAUUGGUGGGUACCUUUCUUUCGGUUGAAUUCCCAGAUUGUAACAGUUGUCAUACUUUAGAUAAUCCACACCCCAAGAAGCAAACAAUUCUGCAUCAUCUUUUUCAUGGUAAAGCGACCCCGGUCGAACUUGACACGUAAAAAUCCCAGCAUCAGAAUAGAUACCAAGCUUGAGGCUUUUCCCAUGUACAUAAUCAGCAAGAGCUUUGAUUCCCGAUGGAAAGGCUUCUGGAUCAGGGACCAACUGACCCUUUGCAUCUCGCG
rnacentral:misc_RNA from 1 species